UACGGGGGGGGGCAAGCGUUGUUCGGAAUUACUGGGCGUAAAGGCUCGUAGGCGGCCAACUAAGUCAGACGUGAAAUCCCUCAGCUUAACUGGGGAACUGCGUCUGAUACUGGAUGGCUUGAGUUUGGGAGAGGGAUGCGGAAUUCCAGGUGUAGCGGUGAAAUGCGUAGAUAUCUGGAGGAACACCGGUGGCGAAGGCGGCAUCCUGGACCAACACUGACGCUGAGUGAGCGAAAAGCCAGGGGAGCAAACGGG
rnacentral:rRNA from 1 species